CCUACGGGGGGCAGCAGUGGGGAAUAUUGGACAAUGGGCGAAAGCCUGAUCCAGCCAUGCCGCGUGUGUGAAGAAGGCCUUCGGGUUGUAAAGCACUUUCAGUGGGGAAGAAAGCCUUGGGGCUAAUACCCUCGAGGAAGGACAUCACCCACAGAAGAAGCACCGGCUAACUCCGUGCCAGCAGCCGCGGUAAUACGGAGGGUGCGAGCGUUAAUCGGAAUUACUGGGCGUAAAGCGCGCGUAGGCGGUCUGAUAAGCCGGUUGUGAAAGCCCCGGGCUCAACCUGGGAACGGCAUCCGGAACUGUCAGGCUAGAGUGCAGGAGAGGAAGGUAGAAUUCCCGGUGUAGCGGUGGAAUGCGUAGAGAUCGGGAGGAAUACCAGUGGCGAAGGCGGCCUUCUGGACUGACACUGACGCUGAGGUGCGAAAGCGUGGGUAGCAAACAGGAUUAGAUACCCGAGUAGUC
rnacentral:rRNA from 1 species